rnacentral:lncRNA from 1 species
ACAUUUGUAGAUAACUGGUAGAUGACUGAAAAUUUCAAGAUGCAGAAUCUUAAUGUUUCAUUUCAAAUAUGUCUACAUGUGAACAAAGUUAUUGAUAGUAUAUCUUUAAAUUAUCGAUAUUUCAAGUUCGAAGAAUAGUCACUUCAUCGAGAGUUUUCAAUCAAUAUGCAUCCGGAUGAAGUGUCUCUGUAUCCUUCCUAGUUUGGAGAUAAUUUUCUUUAGUCCAGAGGCUUUGAAACUUCUGCCUUUCUUAGGACUAGGUUUCCUA